rnacentral:rRNA from 1 species
CAAUAGCGUAUAUUAAAGUUGUUGCGGUAAAAAAGCUCGUAGUUGGAUUUCUACCGAAGAUAGCCGGUCGGGUCUUCGACCUUGUAUCUGGUUUUGUCUUUGGUAUCCUCAUAGGGAACGUUUCUGCGCUUUAUUGCGUGGUGCGGUAUCUAUGACUUUUACUUUGAGGAAAUUAGAGUGUUCACGGCAGGCAAACGCCUUGAAUAUAUUAGCAUGGAAUAAUAACAUAGGAUCUUCGUCCUAUUUUGUUGGUUUCUAGGGCUAAGAUAAUGAUUAAUAGGGAUAAUUGGGGGCAUCUGUAUCAACGCGUCAGAGGUGGAAUUCUUGGAUUGCGUUGCGACAAACUACUGCGAAAGCAUCUGCCAAGGAUGUUUUCAUUGA